GCAAUCGGCUGGCGCAAUCGGCUAGCGCGUUCGGCUGUUAACCGAAAGGUUGGUGGUUCGAGCGCACCCGUCGGCG